GAUGAACGCUGGCGGCGUGCCUAAUACAUGCAAGUCGAGCGAACAGACGAGGAGCUUGCUCCUCUGACGUUAGCGGCGGACGGGUGAGUAACACGUGGAUAACCUACCUAUAAGACUGGGAUAACUUCGGGAAACCGGCUCUAAUACCGGAUAAUAUAUUGAACCGCAUGGUUCAAUAGUGAAAGACGGUUUUGCUGUCACUUAUAGAUGGUUCCGCGCCGCAUUAGCUAGUUGGUAAGGUAACGGCUUACCAAGGCAACGAUGCGUAGCCGACCUGAGAGGGUGAUCGGCCGCACUGGAACUGAGACACGGUCCAGACUCCUACGGGAGGCAGCAGUAGGGAAUCUUCCGCAAUGGGCGAAAGCCUUACGGAGCAACGCCGCGUGAGUGAUGAAGGUCUUCGGAUCGUAAAACUCUGUUAUUAGGGAAGAACAAAUGUGUAAGUAAAUAUGCACGUCUUGACGGUACCUAAUCAGAAAGCCACGGCUAACUACGUG
rnacentral:rRNA from 1 species